GAUGAGCGCUGGCGGCGUGCCUAAUACAUGCAAGUCGAGCGAACGGACGAGAAGCUUGCUUCUCUGAUGUUAGCGGCGGACGGGUGAGUAACACGUGGAUAACCUACCUAUAAGACUGGGAUAACUUCGGGAAACCGGAGCUAAUACCGGAUAAUAUUUUGAACCGCAUGGUUCAAAAGUGAAAGACGGUCUUGCUGUCACUUAUAGAUGGAUCCGCGCUGCAUUAGCUAGUUGGUAAGGUAACGGCUUACCAAGGCAACGGUGCAUAGCCGACCUGAGAGGGUGAUCGGCCACACUGGAACUGAGACACGGUCCAGACUCCUACGGGAGGCAGCAGUAGGGAAUCUUCCGCAAUGGGCGAAAGCCUGACGGAGCAACGCCGCGUGAGUGAUGAAGGUCUUCGGAUCGUAAAACUCUGUUAUUAGGGAAGAACAUAUGUGUAAGUAACUGUGCACAUCUUGACGGUACCUAAUCAGAAAGCCACGGCUAACUACGUGCCAGCAGCCGCGGUAAUACGUAGGUGGCAAGCGUUAUCCGGAAUUAUUGGGCGUAAAGCGCGCGUAGGCGGUUUUUUAAGUCUGAUGUGAAAGCCCACGGCUCAACCGUGGAGGGUCAUUGGAAACUGGAAAACUUGAGUGCAGAAGAGGAAAGUGGAAUUCCAUGUGUAGCGGUGAAAUGCGCAGAGAUAUGGAGGAACACCAGUGGCGAAGGCGACUUUCUGGUCUGUAACUGACGCUGAUGUGCGAAAGCGUGGGGAUCAAACAGGAUUAGAUACCCUGGUAGUCCACGCCGUAAACGAUGAGUGCUAAGUGUUAGGGGGUUUCCGCCCCUUAGUGCUGCAGCUAACGCAUUAAGCACUCCGCCUGGGGAGUACGACCGCAAGGUUGAAACUCAAGGGAAUUGACGGGGACCCGCACAAGCGGUGGAGCAUGUGGUUUAAUUCGAAGCAACGCGAAGAACCUUACCAAAUCUUGACAUCCUUUGACAACUCUAGAGAUAGAGCUUUCCCCUUCGGGGGACAAAGUGACAGGUGGUGCAUGGUUGUCGUCAGCUCGUGUCGUGAGAUGUUGGGUUAAGUCCCGCAACGAGCGCAACCCUUAAGCUUAGUUGCCAUCAUUAAGUUGGGCACUCUAAGUUGACUGCCGGUGACAAACCGGAGGAAGGUGGGGAUGACGUCAAAUCAUCAUGCCCCUUAUGAUUUGGGCUACACACGUGCUACAAUGGACAAUACAAAGGGCAGCGAAACCGCGAGGUCAAGCAAAUCCCAUAAAGUUGUUCUCAGUUCGGAUUGUAGUCUGCAACUCGACUACAUGAAGCUGGAAUCGCUAGUAAUCGUAGAUCAGCAUGCUACGGUGAAUACGUUCCCGGGUCU
rnacentral:rRNA from 1 species